UACGGAGGGGGCUAGCGUUGUUCGGAAUUACUGGGCGUAAAGCGCACGUAGGCGGAACAGAAAGUCAGGGGUGAAAUCCCGGGGCUCAACCCCGGAACUGCCUUUGAAACUCCCAGUCUUGAGGUCGAGAGAGGUGAGUGGAAUUCCGAGUGUAGAGGUGAAAUUCGUAGAUAUUCGGAGGAACACCAGUGGCGAAGGCGGCUCACUGGCUCGAUACUGACGCUGAGGUGCGAAAGCGUGGGGAGCAAACAGG
rnacentral:rRNA from 1 species